ACAGGGUGGGAGCUAAAUGGCUGCUCUAAAACGCCUUGCUGUAAACAACCCGGGGAAGGACUUCCUUGAACUGCCAGUUACCUGAGUGUGAUCCAUCUCACUAAAGCGUCUGCCCCAAGAGAGGUGGUAUCACCAGGAAAGAAAACAAAUAAAAGACACCCAGCAUGUAGCAGCACAGGCACAGGCUGGGGAAUGCUGUCCCCUUGAGGGGGUGAGGGAUCCUCAACAAGCUAUAGUGAGUCAAGCUAUAGCAUUUAAUUUAGACAACAAACUAUUCCAUAUUUCUUUGGGUUUUGAAAACUCCAUCUUCUAGCAACAACUCAAUGGAAAAUCAUGCGCUGAACACAAGCAAAUUGCAAGUGGAAAAUGAAGACACAACGUUGCACCCAUACUGUUGUGCAAAAAAAAUGCAAAUGUACACACUGAACAGUGUUAUAUGUAUUGGAGCCAAACCUUCUGGGGAAAAAAAAAAGGAUAUUUUAUGAUGGAAGUUUUGACUGCUAACUUUUUUUCACAAAGAAACAUUUCUAAAUGUGUUUCAAAUACCUGGGAUAUAGAGAAAGAUAUUAUCUUCUUUGUGUA